UCAUGACAACGUUUUUGCGAGCACGAGUGCUUAAAAUCUGAAAAUAUAGCCAAAAUCAAUGUAUCAAUUAAAUGAAGCAACCAAAUGACCCUUACAACAUUGACCAUAAAUAAGAUUCUUUAAGACCUAAAGAGAUCACGACAAUUUCAACCAAAAAUGGGACAAACUCAGAAAGCGUCAAUAUCAGACCUGUCAAUGCAAGUAGCAUCAAAGAAGUGAAUCUUCGACAAAGCAUGUUACGGUUAAUAAUAGAGUCUACCUCCUACAAACUCUAUUUCUGCUACUGUGACAGGUACCAAUGUUCAAGAAUCACGAGAUAAUGUGAAAAAGGAAGAAUUAGAAGCAGGUGAUAAUCAAGAACAUGAAGGCAAAGUUGUUGAGGU
rnacentral:lncRNA from 1 species